UACGAGGGGUGCAAGCGUUAUUCGGAAUAAUUGGGCGUACAGGGUGUGUAGACGGCAUAUUAAGUCAAUUGUUUAAUUCUCCGGCCUAACCGGAGGUCAGCGGUAGAAACUGAUGUGCUUGAGUGUGGAAGAGAGAAGUGGAAUUCUCGGAGUAGCGGUAAAAUGCGUAGAUCUCGAGAGGAACACCGAUGGCGAAAGCAGCUUCUUGGUCCAUUACUGACGUUGAGACACGAAAGCGUGGGGAGCAAACAGG
rnacentral:rRNA from 1 species